AGGUGCGAGGCGUGCCUGUAAUCCCCGCUACUCGGCAGGCUGAGGCAGGAGGAGCGCAUGAACCCAGGAGAUAGAGCCCACGCUAACUUCACCAUCAAUAUGGUGAUCUCCCAGGAGCGGGGGACUCCCAGGUUGCAAAAGGAGGGAUGAAUUGGUCCAGGGCAGAAACAAGCAGGUCAAAACUCUGGUGCUGAUCAGUAGUAGGAUUGUGCCUGUGAAGAGCCAAUGUACUCGGGCCUGGGCAACAUCAAUAAAGACUCCGUCUCCU
rnacentral:SRP_RNA from 1 species